rnacentral:lncRNA from 1 species
CCCUCCAUAGGAGUGCUAGCUCAUGCAGUCAACUUCUGAUGGCAGAUCUGACUUGAUCUCUUUCUUUGAUCAUUUUGGACCUUUUUGAUAUCGAAGAUGGAUCAGAGGAGGAUGCUGGAUGGUAAAGAAAAAUCAGAUAAAGACUCUCUUCUCUUUGGUUUUUUCCUCAUCCAAAAACCUAGAAUAGUUCUAGAUCUCUUACCCAAGAGGAGAACGGUCUCCUCUUUUGUUCA